rnacentral:lncRNA from 1 species
GGAAGAAUGUGAUGUUUAGCAUUCAAUUUCUUUUAAGAUUUGAGGUGUUGAUUCAUUGGAGGGGAUGUGGGCACGUAGACAUUCACUUGUGCUUGUGAGAUAAGGGCAUGCACAUUGAAGUGGUUGUACGUCCAAAAGCAGCAUCACGUAACACUUCUUCAAACUGGCAGCAGCAUCCACACAACAACAUAUUUUGGGCUUGAAAGAAGCAGUUGCAUCACGGCCCAUUCAUCUUCAAAUCCAGUAGCAAAAACGCAUCCUGCUUGAGAGCAAAGUCCAAC